rnacentral:rRNA from 1 species
GACGAACGCUGGCGGCGUGCUUAACACAUGCAAGUCGAACGGAAAGGCCCUGCUUUUGUGGGGUGCUCGAGUGGCGAACGGGUGAGUAACACGUGAGUACCUGCCCUUGACUUUGGGAUAACUUCAGGAAACUGGGGCUAAUACCGGAUAGGAGCUCCUGCUGCAUGGUGGGGGUUGGAAAGUUUCGGCGGUUGGGGAUGGACUCGCGGCUUAUCAGCUUGUUGGUGGGGUGGUGGCUUACCAAGGCUUUGACGGGUAGCCGGCCUGAGAGGGUGACCGGCCACAUUGGGACUAAGAGACGGCCCAGACUCCUACGGGAGGCAGCAGUGGGGAAUAUUGCACAAUGGGCGGAAGCCUGAUGCAGCAACGCCGCGUGCGGGAUGACGGCCUUCGGGUUGUGAACCGCUUUCGCCUGUGACGAAGCGUGAGUGACGGUAAUGGGUGAAGAAGCACCGGCUAACUACGUG